rnacentral:rRNA from 1 species
UAAAGCGUGCGCAGGCGGUAAUGUAAGACAGAUGUGAAAUCCCCGGGCUCAACCUGGGAACUGCAUUUGUGACUGCAUUGCUGGAGUGCGGCAGAGGGGGAUGGAAUUCCGCGUGUAGCAGUGAAAUGCGUAGAUAUGCGGAGGAACACCGAUGGCGAAGGCAAUCCCCUGGGCCUGCACUGACGCUCAUGCACGAAAGCGUGGGGAGCAAACAGGAUUAGAUACCCUGU